AAAUAGGUGGCUUUAAAUCAGCUGCCUUGGGAGGAACACUCUUGCAGCAGAGACCUGAGACUGGUUGUGCAUGGGCAUGGCUUUGCAGAACACUCUGGAAGCAGUGUGGCUGGGGCUCCUCCUCAGCUUUCUCUGGAAAGCUACAGAGAGCAAAGACCAAGUACUUCAGACUUCCACUGUCUUAUCUUCAGAGGGAGCUGUGGCGGAAAUCUCCUGCAAUCACUCUAUAUCCAAUGCUUACAACUUCUUCUGGUACAUUCACCUCCCAGAAUCCGCUCCAAGACUCCUUAUUAAGGGCACGAGGACUGUUCAGCAGGGACGCUACAACAUGUCUUAUGAGCGGUUCUCCUCGACACUGUUCAUCGCCCAGGUGCAGGUGGCAGAUGUUGCCACUUACUACUGUGCCCUGGAGGACACAGAGGCAGGGAACCCACGAGGAGCUGAACAGAAAUGGGCAGAGAUCACAACCUCUGCAGGAGGUGGAAAAGAGAUGAGCAAGAACUGCUUUCUCCCCCUAAUGUAGUGUCCCCAAGAUUUUCCUCCUGGAACAGCUAUCAGAAAACCUUGACCUCCAGACAUAUUCUAUAUUAGCAAAAGUACAUAGGAAAAUAUGCUUUUUGGGGGUGAUUCAAUAAUGGUC